GAUGAAGAACGCAGCGAAAUGCGAUAAGUAAUGUGAAUUGCAGAAUUCAGUGAAUCAUCGAAUCUUUGAACGCACAUUGCGCCCGCUAGUAUUCUGGCGGGCAUGCCUGUCCGAGCGUCAUUUCAACCCUCAAGCCCCCGGGCUUGGUGUUGGGGAUCGGCGAGCCUCCGCGCCCGCCGUCCCCUAAAUCUAGUGGCGGUCUCGCUGUAGCUUCCUCUGCGUAGUAGCACACCUCGCACUGGGAAACAGCGCGGCCACGCCGUUAAACCCCCAACUUCUGAACGUUUGACCUCGGAUCAGGUAGGAAUACCCGCUGAACGUAAGCAUAUCAAUAAGCGGAGGA
rnacentral:misc_RNA from 1 species